rnacentral:rRNA from 1 species
GAUGAACGCUGGCGGCGUGCCUAACACAUGCAAGUCGAACGACGACACCGUAAGUGCUUGCUCGUUUGGGUGGGAAGUGGCGGGCGAGACAGGAGUAAACCGCACUUUACUUUGUCGUAGGCCUUGGAGACGGGGACCAUACCCUAAUACCAAAUACGACCUCCGGGUGAGAGCAGGGGAGCUUUAUACCUUGCGCGUGUUAACGAGGCGAUGCCGGAUGAGCUAGUUGGAGGGGUAAAGGCGCGCGAAGGCGACGAUCCGUAGCUGGUCUGAGAGGGUGAGCAGCCACACUGGGACUGAGACACGGUCCAGACGCCUACGGGAGGCAGCAGUGGGGAAUAGUGGGCAAUGGGCGAAAGCCUGAUCCAGCCAUGCCGCGUGAGUGAAGAAGGCCUUCGGGUGGUAAAGCCCUGUUGUUGGGAAAGAAAAGCAGCAGGUUAAAAACCCGGUGUUCUGACGGUACCCAAAGAAAAAGCACCGGCUAACUUCGUG